rnacentral:ncRNA from 2 species
AGAUCCCUUGAAGAAGACGAGGUAGAUAGGUUCGGGGUGGAAGUGCGGCGACGCAUGGAGCUGACGAAUACUAAUCGAUCGAGGACUUAAUCAU